AAAAAUACACAUAAUAAAUCGCAUAAUAAAAUCUAAUUUGAUAGAUGAAAUUUAAAUCACAUAAAAUUUCAUUGUAUAAAAAAAAUACGGAAUUUAAGUUUCAGGAGUAAAAUUUUAAAAAUAUAGUGUAUGUGUGUAUAUAUAAUUAAUUUUAUUAAACAAUAUCUUCUACAAUUUUAUUUUCCUUCUAUUUAUUGAUUUUUUUAAAAUUAUUUUGAUAGAUUUAUCUCAAAUCCUUUUCAUAUAAUUUUUUAUAAAAUAAACUAUUGUAUAAAUUACUUUGCGCAUAUACCAAUUUUAAUGACUUUUAUUUAAAUAGAUUUAACUAUUAAAUUAUUUUUAUAUAACUUUUAUUUAAUUAAUAAUUAGAUUUAUAAAACUAUAUAAAAAUAUUAAAAAAACUAAAAUUUAUUAUAAAAAUAUUUUUAUAUCCGCAGCAUAGCGCGGGUAUUUUACUAGUAUAGAAUUAAGAGGACAAUACUGUCGCACAUAUUUGGCCGAAAAAAAGCUUUUAGUGUUUGUUUAUAUAUUAUUAUUUUUUUUUUUUGGAAAGAGAUAGAUAGUAUGCUACCCGCUUCAUUUAUUUUAUUUAGAAAUAAAUUUUUUUUUUGAGAGAGAUAGGUAGCAUGCUAUCCGCUUCGUUUAUUUCAUUUAUAAAUAAAUUUAGCUGGAAAUGUGAAUCAAUUAACUAGGAUUCAAACUUGGGUCUCGAGUACCAACCACCAAGCCUUUUGUCACUUGCUCUAGAGACGGUUGGUGAUUUAGAAAUAAACUUAACUAUAAAUGUGAAUCAACUAGGAUUCGAACUUAAUUGAGAUCUCGAGUACCAACCACCAAACUCUUUGCCACUUGCGCUAGAGAUAGUCAGUCUAUUGGUAAAUUUUUAAGACCUUUUAAUAUAUAUUAUGUAGUAACAUGUACGUUGCGACGGAAAAAUAAUUGAGAAAAAAUAAAAAAAAAAGACGAUAAAAGAAGAGAAGAUGGUGAUGAAAUAAGAGAUCAUAAGGGAUGAGAUUCAUCUUGCCGAUGAACGAAGAUAAUAAUCGAAGGAAGAGGAAAAAGAACAGUUCGACUUAAUGCAGAGAUAUGAUUCGGUUUGGUUCGAGCAAAGAAAAAAUUCGAUUCAGUUCAAGCAAAGAAAGAGAAAAACUUGAGUCAGUUUAAGGUGGAGCUUAUAUUCGACAGUGAUAGAUUUGAUUAAAGCAAAAAAAUUAUCAGUUUAAAGAUAAAAACAUGUGGAGCAGUGGGGUCGGUUCGGUCCGAUGCAACAGGUUGGCCCAGCUCGGCUUAAGCAAAGAAAGAGAGAAAACAAAUUCGGUUCACAUAAAGAAAAAAAUAUAUGUGAAAGACUUGAGCCGGUUCGGAGGAGCUUGCACUCAAUAAUGAUCGGUUCUGUUCAAGUAAAGAAAAAGAAAAAUUCGGUUUGAUUAAAGCAAAUAAAAAGAAAAUUAUGUGGAGGACUUAAGCUGGUUCAAAGUGUUGUCAUGUGAUAAAUUUUUUAAAAUUAUAUAUAUAUAUAUAUAUAGAUAUAUAUAUAUAUAGUCCGGCUACUAUACUUUUAUGAGUACGAUCGCCCUCGUACUUAUAAAUUAUUUUCGAUGAUAAAGCUUCCGAAUCGACGAUCCAUACAAUUAAACAUUAUCUAGAGCAUUUAAAACUUCUAGUAAUUAAAUUUUAUAAUUUUUCGACAUCAUUUACCUUACGAUCAAAAGCUCACAAAAUUGAUAAUUUUUAACGGCCGGUAUAGAAUACUUGCUAGUUUAAUGGUGUAAAAGAAAUGGAAUAGGUUGAAUUUUUGAUAGAAAAUUCUAUUCGCUACCUAGAUAAAGAUCAAUAACUCCGAUUUUGAAUUGAAGGAUCCGAUCAUCCAUUUUUAGGACGUCGUUUGAUUUUGACCGUUCAUUUUAUGCUCAUUUGAUGGACUUUAUUAUGAUUUAGAAAAAUUACAAAAUUUAUAUUUUAGAAGUUUCAAAUACUCUAGAUCAUAUUUAACGGAGUGGAUCGUUGAUUCGGAAGCCCCAUCAUCGAAAACAACUUAUGAAUACGAAUGGUCCAAUACCCAUAAGAGUAUAGUAGCCCUACUCUCUCUCUCUCUCUCUCUCUCUCUCUCUCUAUAUAUAUAUAUAUAUAUAUAUAUAUAUAUAUAGAGAGAGAGAUCUCUCUCUCUCUCUCUCUCUCUCUCUCUCUCUCUAUAUAUAUAUAUAUAUAUAUAUAUAUAUAUAUAGAGA
rnacentral:lncRNA from 1 species